UACGUAGGGCGCAAGCGUUGUCCGGAAUUAUUGGGCGUAAAGAGCUCGUAGGCGGCUUGUCACGUCGGGUGUGAAAGCCCGGGGCUUAACCCCGGGUCUGCAUUCGAUACGGGCUAGCUAGAGUGUGGUAGGGGAGAUCGGAAUUCCUGGUGUAGCGGUGAAAUGCGCAGAUAUCAGGAGGAACACCGGUGGCGAAGGCGGAUCUCUGGGCCAUUACUGACACUAAGAGACGAAAGCUAGGGGAGCAAAUGGG
rnacentral:rRNA from 1 species